UACGGAGGGUGCAAGCGUUGUCCGGAAUGACUGGGCGUAAAGGGCGCGUAGGCGGCCUUUCAAGUCUGGAGUGAAAGCCCCGUUUUUAAGGUGGGAAUGGCUUUGGAAACUGAGAGGCUUGAGUGUGGGAGAGGAUAGCGGAAUUCCCGGUGUAGCGGUGAAAUGCGUAGAGAUCGGGAGGAACACCAGUGGCGAAGGCGGCUAUCUGGACCAAGACUGACGCUGAAGCGCGAAAGCGUGGGUAGCAAACAGG
rnacentral:rRNA from 1 species